CCUGCACCGCGGUAGCUGAUGUGCGACGGAGUCCGCCGCGGAAGGCAGAAAUGAAGACGUCCAUCGCACCGCACUUCCAAAAAGUGCGGCCCGAGAACGGGAGAGAACGCUGAGCGUUACAAC
rfam:Corynebacterium appendicis CIP 107643 strain DSM 44531 genome assembly, contig: Ga0111701_102